rnacentral:rRNA from 1 species
CGGCGGACGGGUGAGUAACGCGUGAGCAACCAACCUUGUACAGGGGGAUAACAGGUGGAAACACCUGCUAAUACCGCAUAAGACCCCGGCACUGCAUGGUGCUGAGGUAAAAGGAGGAAACUCCGGUACGAGACGGGCUCGCGUCCCAUUAGCUGGUUGGUGGGGUGACGGCCUACCAAGGCGACGAUGGGUAGCCGGCCUGAGAGGGUGUACGGCCACACUGGGACUGAGACACGGCCCAGACUCCUACGGGAGGCAGCAGUGGGGGAUAUUGCGCAAUGGGGGGAACCCUGACGCAGCGACGCCGCGUGAGCGAAGAAGGCCUUCGGGUCGUAAAGCUCUGUCUUUGGGGAAGAAUAAGAUGACGGUACCCAAGGAGGAAGCCCCGGCUAACUACGUGCCAGCAGCCGCGGUAACACGUAGGGGGCGAGCGUUGUCCGGAAUUACUGGGCGUA